rnacentral:misc_RNA from 1 species
GAUGAAGAACGUAGUGAAAUGCGAUACUUGGUGUGAAUUGCAGAAUCCCGUGAACCAUCGAGUCUUUGAACGCAAGUUGCGCCCGAAGCCAUUAGGCCGAGGGCACGCCUGCCUGGGCGUCACACGUCGUUGCCCCCCCAUCUACUCCUUCGGGAUUGCGGGGGGCGGAUGAUGGCCUCCCGUGCGCCUCGUCGCGCGGUUGGCAUAAAUGCCAAGUCCUCGGCGACGCACGCCACGACAAUCGGUGGUUGCGAAACCUCGGUUGCCCGUCGUGUGCGGUCGUCGCGCAUCGAGGGCUCGAAAAAAUUGUCGGGCUCCGGCUCGGCUUUCAACGCGACCCCUGGUCAGGCGGGGUUACCCGCUGAAUUUAAGCAUAUCAAUAAGCGGAGGA